AUUUAUUGUGUCAACCACUCCAGAGCUGGUCAUUCAGACUCAUAAUGUUUAUGACCUACUUUGCAAUGUUUUGCAUUUUCCUUGGGGUAAAUGCUGAUUUGUCUCAAUGUAUCAACUAACUGUAUCAACUAGUUUUCACAGACUCUUAUCUCUGAUGCAAGUCAAGUAUUGGCUGCUUGGUGUGUGCAGCCCAAUUAUUUAUUAUCUUGCAUUGUUCUUGACCUUUCAUUGACCAAACCAUUUAUUUUACAGCUUACCAUUGAUCGUGAAUAGGCCCCUAUGCCCUUACUCUCCCAAUGAAAUACAGCCUGCUUCCAAUAAGAGGGACCAAUGUAGAGAGAGGGACUCUGGAAAGCCUUUGGUAACAUCAAAAGAUGGGAAACGGAACCAUAUUUUGGACGUGAGGACUUGCAGUCCCUGCGUUAAAAGGACAAGAUCACCAACAGAACUAAAGCCAACCUAACUAAAGCAGCUGUAAACGUGGGCUUGUAGAGGACGGAGAGUAUCCAUUCUACCACGCUCCAGAUCACCACUAGACAUUCUUCAGAGGACAAGAAAUCCAUGCUGGACAACCCAGCCUUCUAUCUACGACCAAUCUAUCGAAGGGCAGUUCAGAGUAAAUACUGUAUUUAUUGCAUUUUCCUUUUUCAAAUGGGUGGUUAUUUAGAAUGCAUAAGAUACUGUAUUUACGAUAGCAUUGUUUCUUCCUUUGUUACUUUUUCUUCCCGCUCUUUUUCUCUCAAACCCAACCCCCUUUCUUUGUGUAACCAGCCGUCAUAUCUGUUCCAUCCGCUAAGGACAUUUUCCUUUAUGAUAAUGUGUUCAUAAUAAUAAUAUUGAUAAUCAAAUCAAAUUUAUUUA
ensembl:lncRNA